rnacentral:rRNA from 1 species
UACAGGAGGGUGCAAGCGUUUGUUCGGAAUUAUUGGGCGUAAAGCGCGUGUAGGCGGUUAGAUAAGUCGGGUGUGAAAGCCCUCAGCUCAACUGAGGAAGAGCGCCCGAAACUGUUUAACUUGAGUACCGGAGAGGAUGGCGGAAUUCCCCAAGUAGAGGUGAAAUUCGUAGAUAUGGGGGAGGAACACCGGUGGCGAAGGCGGCCAUCUGGACGGAUCGUGACGGCUGAGACGCGAAAAGCGUGGGUAGCAAACAGGA